AUCGACGUUGGAAUAGACAAUGCCCUAAGUAGCAGUGGAGAUAGUUUAAUAGAGGAAUUGAAAUGCUUGCAACAUUUGAAGGUGCUGUGGAUAGAAAUACGCACUGAUUUUGCUCUUGAAAGCCUUUUGAGCUGCCACAACUUACGAGGAUGCACUGAGGGACUAUACCUUCGAGGUUUGAGGGAGACAAAGGUAUUCAGUGUUUUGUUUUCAGAAAAUAUGGAGCGUUUAAGGAACCUACAAAUUAUGGAGUGUGAUAGCAUAGAAGAGAUGGUAACAAGGAAUAUAGACAAGGAAUUAGGGGAAAGAAGAAUGAUACAAACCUCCUCGCCUUUUCCCACUAAUAGUAAUACUAUCACUCCUUGCUUUCAUGCACUGAGCAAGAUUUCAAUAUACAGUUGUCGUAGCUUGAGGAACCUGACAUGGCUUAUGUUUGCUCCAAAUCUGACGCAGCUUGAGGUAGCCUGGUGCGAAAGAAUGAAAGAAAUAAUAAGUGAAGUGAGUGAAGUUGCAAAUGUGGUUGGAAUUUCGAAUCCAAGCCCAUUUGCUAAGCUAGAAAGGCUUCAUUUAGAAACUCUACUUGAAUUGAAGAGCAUAUACAGGGAUGCCCUACCCUUUCCAUGCUUGAGAGAAAUCAUAGUAUUGGACUGCCCAAAAUUGAAGAAGCUUCCGCUCAACUGUGACAGUGCAAAGGGAAAUCAAAUCAGCAUUGUAGGAAAUGAAGAGUGGUGGAAACAGGUUCAAUGGAAGGAUGAUGUCACUCGAUCUAUUUUUUUACCCUCUUUCAGACUUCCAUCACGAUCAUCUAAAGAGCCAGAUUGGAAGGAUGAAGCCAAUCUAAAUGCUUUCGACAUCUUAUUCUAAAGACCGCAGAGGAAAGGUGCGUGAUAUUUCAAAAGCAAUUUUUCCUUUAUUUUUCUCUCUUAUAUUAUCAUUGUCUUCAAAGGUGAGAUAGCAUGCUAACUGUUUGCUAUAGUAAGGUCUCUAAAAUUCCUAUCCUAGUAGUAUUUAAUUUAUUCAUCAAUCAUUCUAAUCUUCUUACAACUACAAUAAUCACUUCUAUUUCUUUUGUUUCUUUACUAAUUUUAAAAGUUCAAACUAUCUCCAACACUACUCACAAUAACACCAAAAUCAACAAAUUUUCUAUUGAACAAAGAAUAAUGCAAUAUCUUCAAUGAAAUGAUGUGGUAUAGAAAUAGAAUUUUGAAGGGCUAGUGCUUGGGAAUGGAUUCUUACAUGAUGCACAAUCAUCUGCUUGAUAUGGUUUACAUAAAUGACAUUGGAAAAUUCAAGAUUAAUGCUCUUAAUACAAAAUAAUUGGUACAUUUAUGCUACACACCAAAUGCUAUAUUGAAGGCCAAUGCAUCAUAAUUAUGUAAGGUUGUCAGACAUGAAUUGAAUUUCCAAGAAUUCAUAUGUUAUACAGGAAAAGAAGAACAACCUUCUGCAUUAAUAAAGGCUUCAACAUUCUGGUUUACAAUGUUAAUUCAUCCAGUAUGGUAACUAUAAAUUUUCCUUGCUUGGAAGGAUCCAGUAACCUUGAAUUCUUCAUCGUCUUCAUUACAUGUACAGCAAACACUAUAUAUUUGGGAACAACUACAGAAGCACUAAUAAAUUUUUCUACAUGUUUGCAUGUCUUCUUAUUCUUUGGGCAGAGACUGGUGCAUGGACAAAUCAAUCAGCUUGAUGAUAGCUACAUGUAUAUUGAAAUCAACAUUGAAAGAAAGGAGGGAUUCUGGAAAGAGAGAGAAUGGGACGAUUUAGGUCUAAAUUUCUGGAGUUAUAAAACAAUGAAGAACUUAUCACAAAGUAUUGUUACUUUUUUCUUUUCUCUUUUCAACUCUAGUUUGCCAUGGACUUUCAAGAAUGUAAUUUGUAUGCUCUAUUUUGUGUGGUUGUAUUGUUUAUAUCAUAUCCGAAACUUGAUUUGUUUGGUGAAAUUUGCAUUUACAUCUAUCAUUUGAUAUUUCUCAACUAAAAUGAAACAAGAUUAGACCUGUUUUCUUGUAAAUUGCUGCUUGCUGCAUUUUAGUUCUUGUCGUGAGGUUUGUCAUCUAAAUCAUUGCUGCUUGCUGCAUUUGGUAUGGUGAAUGUCAGAAGCUGACUAAUGACACGGCUUGUUUUAGAAAUUUUGGGAUCACAAAUGGUGAUCAUGUUUUGUUAUGAUGAAUACAUUUGUUUAGUUUUAUGGAGGUUGUGAAUUUGAAUAAUAGUAGUAUUUUUACAAUUUGGAAGAUUGGACUGAACCAUAGCUAAAAGGUUGUAUGUUCUCACUGUCAUGGGUUAAUUACAUUUAGCAUUCGAACUAUCGAGUUGAUAUCUAAAGUUUAAAGAUUUGCAAUCAAGUAUUAUUUUUGUUAAGCAAUUUGCAGUUUUAACUAACAACAUUAGUUGUAUGAUAAAUACACUUUUUGUCUACAUGAAACAGUUUGUUUUAGCAGCUGAAUUACAAAACAAAGAGAAAGGAAUUGCAAAUGAAUGGAUAUCUAGUUAUACAGGCAAAUGAUUUGGGUUCAUAACAUAAAGUCGUACCUUGCAUUGGCUGUUUCGAGCACUGCACUUGUCAGCUGCUAAGUCCAA
rnacentral:lncRNA from 1 species